ACGCAAGUGUCCGGGCAACCAUAAUCCUAUCUGCUUCCCAUUAUCCCCUCACACGCUCUCUCUGUCUCAAUUUUUGCUCGUGCCUAAGCUAUGGUCGCCAUCGCCACGUCGAUCCUAUGGCCACCGCCCUCCCCUUGUUGCGCCAAGAUGUCCAGGAGCUUUGCCGUUGUCGACUCCUUCGCCUGUGCGCAUCGGUUCGAGUAGGGGUGCACUAGAAGCUCGCCAUCUAGUCAUCUUCCCCGCCACGGCUGCCACGCCUCGUCAACGAGCUCGUCGCAUCUCAGUCGCCCCGUGCCUUCUACCCAUGUCUACGAGAUUCGCGACCUCGAGACUGACACCACUGCCGUCUAGUACGACUACAGAGUCGACGACCCCUCCUUCUCAACCGAGCAACAAGAUGGAGGAUCCCAGGAGCGAGAUGCUAUCACCAGCGACUGCCACUACCCUGACAGAGCCUACUAUCACGUGGAGGCUGCUAACGACCAGGAGUAGUUAGGAGGCUCCGAAGCAGGAGGCCUUUCCUUUUCGACCGAUAUAUCCUUUGUGCUAGCCUUAUUUAGGAAAAACUAGUUUACUUAAUGUAUGUACUUAGAUAUUGUUGCUUCCACUGACUAAUGUAUUCAAUCCCUCAUGGCCUGGCUUGUAACAUAUACCUUUAUGUUUGAAUUUGUGUCUAGAGUUAUGUUGUGAUAUUGAUGAAUGAUUCCUUGAGCUUGAACGUA